GAGGGUAUAGCUCAAUGGUAGAGUGCUUGCCUAGUGUACAUGAGGUCUGGGGUUCAAUCCCCAGUACCUCCA
rnacentral:tRNA from 1 species